UUUUGAAUUAAUGCGGGUCACGGAUUUUAGAGAGAUUUUAAGAAACCAUCAGUCCACAACGGCAUGGAUGGCACUUGAAGUUGGGCAUCAGUGUGUUUAAAUACUGUUUUUAAAAUAAUACAAAUUUAUUCUCGUUUUAUCAUUUUAAAGUGAUCAUCUCUAAAGUUACAUCAUAACUGGUUUCAAAACAAUGUUAUUCAAAAUAGAUUUUUUUCAUAAAUGCAAUGUUAAAAUGGGGUAAUUGGUUCCAGAAGCUAAAUUUUGAUCAAAAAAAUUGUUCUAUAUUUACAAAAAUUAUAAAAAUAAGUUGGAGGAUUUUCUCUUGAACUGUAGUUAGAUCAAGGACACACUGAUGUCCAAUAAUACAAAUUAUGAAGCAUGAAUAUUUGAUGAUAGCUUUAGGAAAUCAGACAGUGAUGUGUUAUAAGACAUUCUUUUCUCUCAAUCUUCUAAAUAGUAAGCAAGACUUGUUUUUUAUUGCUUGUUAAUUGUUACUGUUCAGUGUUCAUUUGAAUCAAUAUUUACAAGAAUAUUUGGGACCAGAUUCAGUAGUCUAAGCCCUUCAGUUUUGAAACUUCUGAAAUUUUUUCUUAGGCUCAGAUUUUUCAGAUUCUUUCUCCAUGCUUUGAUUCUAAAUUUUAAUAAGAUCAAGCAUGAAUUCUUGAUCUUGAAAGUUUAGCAGAUGAAAAGCAUUUGUAGCACAAUUACAAAUUGAGUUUGAAUAAUGCCUUUGACUUUCUCUGUUGCCAAAAUAUAAUAGAUUCCUGUAGUGACUUCUGAAUCAUGGAUAUCCAUGAAGAAAACAGAAUUUCUUCUUAAUGUCCUUAAUUUGUAUAUUUUUUUUAAAAGACUUUUAUUUAUUAAUCCCUUAUAACCUUCAUUGUAUCUGGAAUAUGAGAGCUUUCAGAAGUUCUUAAUCAUAUUUUCCAAUUGAAUUUUAUAAUGUCUCCAUCCUAUUAGAUCCUAAGUAGCGGAUUCCACUGCUUGUUGUAAGCCAACCAUUUUCAUAUGAUCUCUUUUUGUUUUAAUUCUUUCCAACCAGAGGUUAUUUACUACAAACAAAACUAUUUCAGCAUCUACAAGUUCAUCCACAAUUGUUGCAGAGUCAACCAUCAGAUAAAAAUAGGAUUCAAUAGGCAGAGUUCAGAUCCUUUCCAAAAAUCUGGAAGUGUUGGAUCCAGAAUUGAACUCCAAUCCUCUAGAGUGAAAGCACAUCAUAUUUUCACAUAUCCAUUCUGCAGUUGUCCUUCAGUGUUAGUUUUUUUAUUAUUCUAUAAGCAAAAAUUUCUAUGAACUAUAUUUAAAAUUCAAUCUAUUAUAAUAAAAUCUUUGUCUGUUCCUUUUGAGUGAUCUCACUGAGUUACAAUAAUCACAUGAUAUUCUAACUGAUUUUAUUGGACUGUAAUUGUCAUGUGCAGUAAUCACAUGACCAUUAUAAUCCAAUGUGGCUUGCUAAAUUACUGGUGGAUGUCAAGUACUAUGCUGUGUAUUUUGUUUAUCUACUAGAAUUAAUAAGAUAAACUUGUUUAUUCUUAAUGUGUAGUCGCUCUCUAAUUUGCUAACUAUUAUAUGUUACAUUAAUUAAUUAAAUAUCAAAUAAGAAACUUUGAUAGGCUUAGUGACUAGACUAUUACCAUAUAGUGGUCUGCUAUUACUAUGGCC
rnacentral:lncRNA from 1 species